rnacentral:rRNA from 1 species
CCUACGGGAGGCAGCAGUGAGGAAUAUUGGUCAAUGGACGCAAGUCUGAACCAGCCAUGCCGCGUGCAGGAUGACGGCGCUAUGAGUUGUAGACUGCUUUUGUACGAGGGUAAACCCCGGUACGUGUAUCGGGUUGAAAGUAUCGUACGAAUAAGGAUCGGCUAACUCCGUGCCAGCAGCCGCGGUAAUACGGAGGAUCCGAGCGUUAUCCGGAUUUAUUGGGUUUAAAGGGUGCGUAGGCGGUUCGAUAAGUUAGGGGUGAAAUGUCGGGGCUCAACCCCGACACGGCCUUUAAUACUGGUGGACUAGAGAGUGGUGGCGGUAGGCGGAAUGUAUGGUGUAGCGGUGAAAUGCAUAGAUAUCGCACAGAACCCCGAUUGCGAAGGCAGCUGACGGUUCCGCGACUGACGCUGAGGCACGAAAGCGUGGGGAUCAAACAGGAUUAGAUACCCGAGUAGUC